UCAAGUAAGAUAUAGUAGUAGCAGAGC
rnacentral:piRNA from 1 species